rnacentral:lncRNA from 1 species
AUGCAGCUAUUCUGGCUACACAGUUGUCACUGGCCACCAGGAAAUGCGGCCACAACAGGUUCUAGCAGCAAAGCUCUCCAGGAGCUGGCUUGCUCACGGAGAACUGACCAGGCUUGCAGCUGGGACUCCUUAGGGAUUCGGGAUGCCCCUUGGGGGAUUCCUGGGAAUGACCCACCACAGUUCCUCGGUCUGCACUUAUGUGCGGAGAUUCCCUUGGUCACUUUCAAAACAAACUCAGGUGUUUUGGAGACAGAUAUGCCGGUUUGUUUUUGUUUUGCCUUCUUUCCCUCUGGUAGGGAAACCUUAGUUUAUUUCCCAAGUUGCUGGCAGGGAUGGCUUUCUUGGUUAUCUUUAUCUCCACUUCUCCAGAGGAGGUGCUCUUGGAAGGCGUACUUUACAGGUGUUUACAGUCUAGUGAAGGGAAGCAGACAAUACAUAUAUGACUGUAAUAGGUCAGAUGGUGACAAGUGCUGUUGAGCACGACAGAGAGAAG